rnacentral:lncRNA from 10 species
GUGAGAGAUUAAGUUUACAGAUUAAAUUGGAAAUAAAUGAAUCUUUGUUUUUGUCACAGGAAAGAUCCCCCCAGGGAGAGGAUACUAAAAUGUAGCUAGAAGUGCAAAAUGUUUUAGUAGAGCUUAACUCCAGCGAAAGGAGAAGGAAGGGUGCAGAAUUAGGGGAAACUGUCAGACAGUGAUGCAGAGUUGACAAAGUUGCUGUCAGCCUAGUGGGAGCUUCGGAGCAGAGACUCCCUGAUAGAGUGGUAUGUUAGGCAGAAAUGGCUAGACCACUGUCCCACUGCAUUGUCAGGUAAUUGGCUGGGGAUCACCUCACCUGGCCAGAAAGUUGAGGUAAACUCUGACAAAGCCAAUAACGAGGCUAUCAGCUAGCCACAGCUGGGUAGCAAGUCUUGCAGCUGGUAGCACGUCCUUUCUUGAGGGGAGAUCUGAGCAUCACAUCUCUGCCAAAAUUUAUAAAGAAAACAUCCUAUUUAUAGAAUUAAAAUGAAGAAGUCCUAUAUAAUUUGCUUAGAAUGAUUAUACUGUGAUUACUUGAACUGCAAAGUUAGAAGUAACUUAGGUGCUCAGUAAAUGGUACAUUUCUGAAGGGUAAAGUUGGAAGAAAAAGAUUAUUAUUUUUGCUUGAAUUUUGCUCUGAAUAGCAGAGCAGUUGUUCUCAUUAUGUGCUAUUUGCUGGUGCAGAAGAUCAGUCUUUGAACAUAGUAAUAAGAAAUAUACAUUUAUUUAUUCAAAGGAAGGCAUGUGCCAGAUGCUGGAUUACAUCAGAAUGAGCAAGAAAAAUACAGCAUCUGUCCAGGUGGAACUUACAGUCUGGUGAAUACACACAAAUAGGUAAAUUCUCUUUGCUGUAGGAGCAACACCUAAACCCAGAUUUGAGGGGGGAAAUAGUUUCAAAGCAGCAUGAUGCCACCGCUCGACUGAAGGCCAAGGAGCUGCCUUUGGGUAAUGGAUGGCACCUCCUCUUCAUAAAGUCCAUUUCUUCAGAUGCCUCCUGUGGUGGAUGAACCUUUGCAUAUGUCAUUAAGUGCUUAUGUUGUCAACUGCUCCAUCUCAGAAAAAAAGUUUUCUCUUGACAGUGGAGUGUGAGCACACAGAGCACUCAAGGUCUAACCAGGUUAAUAGGUAGGAACAGCUAUAAAUCAGAGUCCCCAGCACUGUCUGCACUAUUUUAACUGAGAUGAUAGGAAAAUAGGUAACAAGUUUAACCCCCCAUGGCAACUGCUGUACUGAUAUCUUCACAUACACUUUACACUUGUAUAAUAACAUAUUUCAACUUUCAAAAGUGGCCUCACAUCUAUCAUCUCAUUUUACUCUAACAAGGACCCCACCCACCUCCCGGAUCUUUUAAUAUCAUAACCAGAAAGAGCUGACUAAGUCAACAAGGGAAGGUACCAUGCUGGGUGCUUUAUACAUAUGACUUCCAGCGCUGACAACGAUCCAUUCUGGUAGAUAUUAUUGUCUCCUUGUAAUAGGGCCCAGCUGGGAUUGAACUGAAGUGUGUCUAGCUCUAAAACCCUUGUACUUUCAACUGGGUCAUCAUACACUUAUCCUAUGUUCUAAUUCAUUAUUAAAAGUCAAUCUUUCCUAUGGAUAAUGGUUACUUUGAGAGGUGGGGGUAGUGACCAGAAAGGGAUGUAAAGGGGGUUGCUGGUAAUGUUGUUUUUUCAUUUGGAUACUACUUAGAUGAGCGUGUACCCUUUGGGAAAGCCCACUGAGUUGUACACUUAGGAUUUGUGCACUUUAUGUAUGUUUGUAAGAAAUAUUUCAAUAGGAAACAUUUUAAAGCUAGUUUUUCUUUUGAAGGUGUAAGCUUUUUACUUACUUGUCUCCAAAAUCUAACUCUUUAUGUGCCUGUAUGUUGCAGUGGAAAAAGUGAGCUCAUGAUCAUUUUGCUUAUUUACAAUGGAUAAAUGAGAUCCAAAUACACAGAAUCAAGGGAAGGAGUUGCUUCUUCUAAGAGUGAUGCUUAAUCUUUUGGGUCAUGGAUGAAUUGAAGAUUUGAUUAAAGUUACAAUAAAAAGAGAAAUAAUCAAAGCACGUACAUUCUGUAUCACGAACGGUGCCAAACUCUUUAUAUAUAUUAGCUUCUUUCAGCUGUAUCAUAACACUGAGAGGUGGAUGCUAUUAUUUCCUUGUUACCCCUCUACCACACACACACACACUCUCUCUCUCACACACACACACACGCUCGCACACACAGAGUUUUCCCUGUUAUUUCAGGGAGCUCAUGAAUGUCCUAAGGUACAUUAUCCGGAGACACAGCUUAAGAGCCCCUAUCAGGUUGAAAAAAAAUGACAGAAGAAAAAAAUUUUUAAAGCAAUGGAUUAUGGAAAAGGACUCAGAUUGUUAAUUCAAUUAAGUUGUAGUUUGUCAUUUUACAUUCUUUUGUUUCUCCUAUAAAGCUUGAUGUCAUGUAAUUUUUCUUUUCUUUUUUUUUUUGAGACAGUCUUGCUCUGUCUCUCAGGCUGGAGUGCAAUGGCACAAUCUUGGCUCACUGCAGCCUUGACCUCCGAGCCCAAGCAAUCCUUCUGCCUCAGCCUCCCGAGUAGCUGGGACUAAAGUCAUGUGCCACCACACCUGGCUAGUUUUUAAAUUUUGUUUGUUUGUUUUGUUUUGUAGAGAUGAGGUCUCACUAUAUUGCUCAGGCUGGUCUUGAACUCCUGGGCUCAAGCAAUCCUCUCAUCUCAGCCUCCCAAAGUGUGGGAUUAUAGGUGUGAGCCACAGCACAUGGCCUCCUUUUACAUACAUUUUACUUUAUAAUAUUUAAUAUACUCAAACAUAUAUGAAGCAGUCAUACAUUAUAAAGCAUAAUAAAAUGCAUAAAGUCCUGUGAACCUAUAACCCAAUAUAAGAAUUAAAAUAUUGCCAAUACUCUUAAUACUAUCUUUGUAUUCUAUCCUUAUCCACUUCCCUCCCUUCCUUCUAGAAGCAUCUACUGCCCUGAAUUGGUGUUUAUCACAUCUUUGCUUUUUUAUCUUUGUAUUUCAAUGCAUAUAAAAGCACUUCUUUGCUUUUUAAAGAAUAGUGUUAACACAUAUAUAUGAAUACCUAAAUAUCAUUUUGUUUUGCUUGACACAUCAAUUGAGUUAUUGCUUGACACAUCAAUAAUUUAAAGUUGUGGGCCAGGCACGGUGCCUCACGCCUGUAAUCUCAGUACUGUGGAAGGCCGAGGCGGGUGGAUCACCUGUGGUCAGGAGUUCGAGACCAGCCUGGCCAACACGGUGAAACCCCAUCUCUACUAAAAACACAAAAAUUAGCCGAGCAUGGUGGUGUGUGCCUGUAGUCCCAGCUACUCGGGAGGCUGAGGCAGGGGAAUCGCUUGAACUCGGGAGGCGGAGCUUGUAGUGAGCCGAGAUCGUACCACUGCACUCUCAGCCUGGGUGACAGAGCGAGACUCCG